CAGCGCCGCGGGAAGGGAGCGCCGGGGGGGGGAGUCCCGCGGCCGGGCCCCUCUGGGAAGGGCUGGAGACGACGCGGGGAGGGGGCCGGAGGAGGAUGGAGCGUUCCCGCAAAUCACAUGAUUUUCCCGCUUAUAUAAAUCACAGCUUGUUUUUCUCCACUGGCUGCAGACUUAAAGGUGCAGUGUCUUCUUUCUCUCCCCAGGGCCGGGUGCCCCGGGGCGGGGGGCGGGAGGCGGUUCUGCCGGCCCCUGAGAUGCACUGGAGGGGGCUUCACCCGCGAGGGUGCCAGGGCUCCCGGUUUGGGGAGCACCCCCCCAUCCAUCACCACCCCGAGGACGUGUCGUUUUAACUGGAAACCGGGGAAGGACCUGGAAAUUCGAUCACCCAAUGAGCCGGCAGUCCCGGGCGGGCGAGGUCGGUCAGAGACCUCUCUGGAGACCAGCUGGUCCUGAGAGCGCUGACGCCCAGGAUGCCUGUGAGGGAUCUUGAGCCGAGGGGUUAAGAUGAAGCUGGCUUGUGGGAGAUCUGUGUGGCCAUAAUCAGGCUUCUAAGGCUGAUGCUUUUUAUUCUCACCAGCCCUGGCUAUUUGUUUGAGGCUAACAUAUGUGGGGGAAAAAAAUCAACACAGGUAUUAAGCACCUACUAUCUAAGUAUUAGGCACUGCAGGGAGAAACCAAGACCUGUUAGUCUUCACCUUCAAGUGCUGUAUACUAUUUGGGCGAUGAGAUACAGACUUGGGAGAUUUGAAAUAGCACUGGUCCAUUUCAGUGCUGUUCCAGGCAGUAGGCAAUUACUGCCCCUUGAAUAGUACAGAUAAUGAGUGGUGCAGGCUUCCAGGGAGGGCUGGGAGAAAGCAGGAGGGAGGAGGAAGGAGAGGCGCAGCCUGUGGGAGCCCGGGGGGCCAUGGGUGGGCCUGGGAGGAAAGGAGCGUGGUGUUAGGAUGUCGCACAGGGGCCAAUCCCUUUGGAUAAAGGGAGGAACUGGAGAAUGGAGAAGUAGGGCCAGAGGCUGGAAAGCCCUAGGGGUCAGAUGCGGACAGCCUGGAGUGCAGGCCUGGGCAGAUGUGGUUUGACAAAGGCAUUGUGGGAUCCUCUGAAGGUGCAGGACAGGUAGAUGGUGCCAGGCGUAGGCAGCCUAAUCUGGAAGCCCUGAAGGAACCAGCUGGUAGCUUCUGCAGAAACCAGGCAAACACAAAGGUUCACAGUGCUAGGAUGUUAAGAGAAAAAGUGGAAAUGAAAAGUGAGAGGUAGGAGAUAUUUUUAAGAAGGAAUGAAGGUAGUCGAGCGAUUGUUUAUUUGGGAAGGAAAGAAAUGACCAAAAGUGAUGGCGAUUUUGAGCUUGGGAGGCAGGGAGAAGCUACAGGCUACCCUAUAGCUCUAUAGAGCUAUCAUUUGUAAGGACAGUGGGAUCUUAACUGGGAACUGUCCAGGGGGCUGGAAAUCAGGACAGAAGAACAGCACGGAGGAAAUAACCGAAAGGAUGAAAGAGCUACUACAGAUCUGAAAGGAAGCUAACAGAAAGGGAAAAAGGGAAAGAGGCCCGGGAACACCCACGUUUGGGAGGAGGAGCCGGUGGCCAGGCGGUGGAGGGAAUAUGCCCUCACCUGGGUUCCAAUUUUACACAAGCCUCCAUGUGGUGGCAAAGGUGGCCUAUCUGCUCCAGGCUUACAUGGUCCUUAGCUCCUGCAACGUCAGAGAAAGACAGUCUUUUUCCUUAUAGUCCAAACUUCUUGAAAGAAUUGUCUUCACCUGCUGCAUUCCCUUCAUCUCUGUCUCUUCACUACAAAUAGAUUUACAUUAAGAUCUUCAAAGCCUUCCUUGUUGCUAAGAUUUUAACAACAAUUGUAUCAUAUAUAUAUGAUAUAAAGCCGGAUACAAGAUGAUUUUCCUCAAAUAAGGUUAACUGUGUAAAAAACAUUUAUGCUGGGAAAAGAAGUGAUAGGUAAUAAAAUGAAAAAUUUAAGUCACUGCCAGACAGUUGGAAUGACUGGUGAAUUUUCUUUUUCCUUUUCUUGUAAUUUUCCUCAACUGAAA